rnacentral:rRNA from 1 species
GAUGAACGCUAGCUACAGGCUUAACACAUGCAAGUCGCAGGGUAACAUGAGGAAAGCUUGCUUUCCUUGAUGACGACUGGCGCACGGGUGAGUAACGCGUAUCCAACCUUCCCAUAACUACGGGAUAACCCGUUGAAAGACGGCCUAAUACCGUAUGAUAUCGUUUGCUGACAUCAAAUAACGAUUAAAGGUUUAGCGGUUAUGGAUGGGGAUGCGUCUGAUUAGCUUGUUGGCGGGGUAACGGCCCACCAAGGCGACGAUCAGUAGGGGUUCUGAGAGGAAGGUCCCCCACAUUGGAACUGAGACACGGUCCAAACUCCUACGGGAGGCAGCAGUGAGGAAUAUUGGUCAAUGGGCGAGAGCCUGAACCAGCCAAGUAGCGUGCAGGAUGACGGCCCUAUGGGUUGUAAACUGCUUUUAUGUGGGGAUAAAGUGCGUGACGUGUCAUGCAUUGCAGGUACCACAUGAAUAAGGACCGGCUAAUUCCGUGCCAGCAGCCGCGGUAAUACGGAAGGUCCGGGCGUUAUCCGGAUUUAUUGGGUUUAAAGGGAGCGUAGGCUGUCUAUUAAGCGUGUUGUGAAAUAUACCGGCUCAACCGGUGGCUUGCAGCGCGAACUGGUCGACUUGAGUAUGCAGGAAGUAGGCGGAAUUCAUGGUGUAGCGGUGAAAUGCUUAGAUAUCAUGACGAACUCCGAUUGCGCAGGCAGCUUACAGUAGCAUAACUGACGCUGAUGCUCGAAAGUGCGGGUAUCAAACAGG